GGCACUGCGCUAGCUCAACCGUUCAGAGCCGGGGGCUCACAAUCCUCGGUCGCAGUUCGAGUCCCGCGCGCGCCU
rnacentral:tRNA from 2 species